ACUGAUUAGUUAAAACAGGAACUUUUGUAUUUUUUCGAUAGUUCAACACUGGCUGUAUGAUGGCAAUAGACAAAAUAUGAGUGAAGUUCCUCAUAAAUGCGAAAAAUUAUGUGUCAAAGUGAUCAACACAACGGCUCUGAUUUUGUGACGAAAGAAUAUUUCUAUUUUUUUAUUGUUGUCAUUACAAUUAGUGAUCAAUACGGUAUCUCCGUGCAGUGUUAUUAUUUUCCUGUUGUUGAAACAUAAGAGGAUUACUUUGGACAAUGCCGCGCAUUUAUAAACCUGAACCUGGAGGCUUAUGGCCCGCUCCAAGUUUGAACUCUCAACCAAUGAGAGCGCCAAACGUGAUCGAUGUGUAUAAUGAAGUCUAUCGUAAUGACAUGGUAGAGGCCCUGGAUUUUAAUGCGCUUUAACCAGCGUCAAGUUUUAUGGGAUUGUGAAAUCUAUUUAUACUAAAAGUGUACUAUCAUAAUAUUGUGACAUCAAUCGAAGUCUUGUUGUUGUAUCAUCCUCAUUUUUAUUUGUGACAAAAUAAAAAUACGUUGUUACACUAUGGUUUAAUAAUCUAACUGACAAACUAAACAUAAUUUUUCAGUAAAAUCCACUUAUGUUUAUUACUUAAAAGUUUUUUUUUUUUGUAUGGGUGAUUUGCCCUAAUUGUUUUUGCAUUGUUCAUAAUAUAAUUAACUACCCCUGUUCUAUUUUUUUAAAGUUGAUGGUACUUACUUUAUUAAAUAAUUUGUAGGUAUAUGUGCUAAGUACAGUUCGUCUCCAUUCACCCAUAUCGCGGGUAAAUAGAAAACGUGCACUUAAUGUGAUUUAUUAAAUAAAUGACGAGGAAAUUAA